rnacentral:rRNA from 1 species
GACGAACCGAGCGAACGUUGUUCGGUGUCACUGGGCUUAAAGGGCGCGUAGGUGGUUGCGUAAGUAACGUGUGAAAUCCCUCGGCUUACCCGGGGAAUUGCGCGUUAUACUGCGUGACUUGAGGAUCUCAGGGGAAGGGGGAACUCCAGGUGUAGCGGUGAAAUGCGCAGAUAUCUGGGGGAAGGCCGGCGGCGAAGGCGCCCUUCUGGGAGAUUCCUGACACUGAGGCGCGAAAGCGUGGGGAGCAAACAGG